CAUCGAGCACGCCAUUAUGAUAGUCCAAUUACGAGAUAUUGCCUCUCGGAGUUGAAGUGUUUGAGGAGUGCUGGUCGCGGCGGCGGCGGUUCAAUAGGCACUCGAGGAGAGCUUGAAGACCCUUUCACCGUUCGAGUCCUGUCCGAUCGUUAAAACCUCACGCUUUGACCCCGGGCUGGAGGACGGGUCACCAAGGAAGCAGACCGUAGACAAUGAGAAGAAGCGAGUUGCUGCACCGGCGGUUGGUGGAGGAGGGACGAAGAAACGGUAGGAGGACAGAGGUGAAACGUUGAGAAAGAGAAAGCAGAGAAACCACACGGGUCGCGGGUAAGCGGUAAGUUUCUAACGAGAAGCAUUAGCGGAGUGGACGAGGCGACAUCAAAUAUGUAGAUAGCGCUACGGGGAAUUUCUCCGGAGAACAAAGUUGCUACAACGUAGCUCCGGACUCGGAAACAGAAGGAGGUGAAUAUAAAGGGGGAACAAGGGGGAGGGAGAGUGAAGCCAACACGCAGAGAAGGGAAACAAGAGCCACACGGAGAGAGAGGAACGGUCUUGCCUCAUCCUUGGAAGGCAGCUCGCGGCAUCAGACUCCCUUGUGGUGCGCUUCCAACCCUCCGUACGUCGGAUAAUAAUGGGAAAAGCUGGCGAGCUACGGCCCCCUGCACCGUAGCACGAAUUAAGUCUGCGGAAACGCCGCCGCGUCUGGAAUUGAUUAACCUUCGUAGUUCACGAGACCAGCGAAACCCUCGUGCGUGCUGCACGAGGCAGUUUGGAUGCCCAUAGCCUUGAAGAAACGAUGGAUUUCAUAGCUAUUGCGAUGUUUCGCUGAUGUUCUGGGGAUUCGAGGUUUUAGGAGUAUGAUAGGGGUCGUGAUAUAGUGAGGUCGUAAGAUUAAAGUCAAUAGUCGAAGCACAGUGGAACUUUGUUUAUAUAGGGUUACCAGGAUUUGGCGUGGAUCGUUUUGGAUUUGUAAUUAUGUUUAAGGUUGUCGAAAAGGGAUCGAAAAGUCUGAGAAUUUUGUGAGUGAAUGGUCAUAGAAGCUGAAGAAGAAUAUGUUGUUUAAUUGCGUAGAAACAAGAAGAAGAUACAUACGAAUAUUUUUCUACA